UGUAUUUUUGGUUUUCUAUGUUAAAAAACGUAACUAACCCAUGUAUUUUGUGUUUGAUUUCUGCUAUUUUUACACUACUCAGCCAUGUAGUUUAUAUAUCUCAACCGUGUCGUUUACAUAACUCAGUCAUACCUCAAACAUACCCUAAAAUCAGAAAAUGUUUAGAUAACGCAGCAUAUCGUUUAUAUAAAUCAGCCAUACCUCAAACAUACCCUAAAAUCGAAAAACUGAAUUCAAGUACUUCAAGAAGUUA
rnacentral:lncRNA from 1 species